CUGUCCAAAAAUAAUCGGCAUCUUAUUGCUACUCUCUCCAAUCUCCGAGGAACGAAAAAAAAGAGAGAUCAGAGAAGGGAUGCCUGCGAUAAGCAUUACAUGUAACGAUGGAUGCGAUGAAUGAAUGAAUGAAUGGUAUAGUCCUACGCAAUUUUUUUUUCUGGUUCUCUACUAGAUAGGAAAUCUGAAGUGAAGAAGGGGG
rnacentral:lncRNA from 1 species